UUUCUCUCCGCGGGAAACUAGCAUAUCAAUAAGCGGAGGAAAAGAAACCAACAGGGAUUGCCUUAGUAACGGCGAGUGAAGCGGCAACAGCUCAAAUUUGAAAUCUGGCUCUUUUAGAGUCCGAGUUGUAAUUUGCAGAGGGCGCUUUGGCGUUGGCAGCGGUCCAAGUUCCUUGGAACAGGACGUCACAGAGGGUGAGAAUCCCGUACGUGGUCGCUAUCCAACGCCGUGUAAAGCCCCUUCGACGAGUCGAGUUGUUUGGGAAUGCAGCUCUAAAUGGGAGGUAAAUUUCUUCUAAAGCUAAAUACUGGCCAGAGACCGAUAGCGCACAAGUAGAGUGAUCGAAAGAUGAAAAGCACUUUGGAAAGAGAGUCAAAUAGCACGUGAAAUUGUUGAAAGGGAAGCGCUUGCAGCCAGACUUGCCUGUAGUUGCUCAUCUAGGCUUUUGCCUAGUGCACUCUUCUGCGGGCAGGCCAGCAUCAGUUUGGGCGGUUGGAUAAAGGUCUCUGUCAUGUACCUCUCUUCGGGGAGAACUUAUAGGGGAGACGACAUGCAACCAGCCUGGACUGAGGUCCGCGCAUUUGCUAGGAUGCUGGCGUAAUGGCUGUAAGCGGCCCGUCUUGAAACACGGACCAAGGAGUCUAACAUCUAUGCGAGUGUUUGGGUGUUAAGCCCGAGCGCGUAAUGAAAGUGAACGGAGGUGGGACCCCUUUAGGGUGCACCAUCGACCGAUCCUGAUGUCUUCGGAUGGAUUUGAGUAAGAGCAUGGCUGUUGGGACCCGAAAGAUGGUGAACUAUGCUUGAAUAGGGUGAAGCCAGAGGAAACUCUGGUGGAGGCUCGCAGCGGUUCUGACGUGCAAAUCGAUCGUCAAAUUUGGGCAUAGGGCGAAAGACUAAUCGAACUAUCUAGUAGCUGGUUCCUGCCGAUUUUCCCUCUCAGGAAAA
rnacentral:rRNA from 1 species